UGGGGGAUCGUCUAACGGUAAGACGCUCGGCUCUGGACCGGGUAAUCGGGGUUCGAAUCCCUGUCCCCCAGCCA
rnacentral:tRNA from 2 species